UCAAUUGACGUUUGGAAUAGUCUUAUGGGUUUCGCGGUGCGGCUCAUUUGCGUGCUCUUUAAUACAUAUCGUGAAAUGCGCCGAACUGCGAAAGUCAUGGGGUUAAGUAAACAACGUGAAUUAU
rnacentral:precursor_RNA from 15 species